AGUGAACGCUGGCGGUAGGCCUAACACGUGCAAGUCGAACGGCAGCACAGUAAGAGCUUGCUCUUACGGGUGGCGAGUGGCGGACGGGUGAGGAAUACAUCGGAAUCUACUUUUUCGUGGGGGAUAACGUAGGGAAACUUACGCUAAUACCGCAUACGACCUACGGGUGAAAGCAGGGGAUCUUCGGACCUUGCGCGAUUGAAUGAGCCGAUGUCGGAUUAGCUAGUUGGCGGGGUAAAGGCCCACCAAGGCGACGAUCCGUAGCUGGUCUGAGAGGAUGAUCAGCCACACUGGAACUGAGACACGGUCCAGACUCCUACGGGAGGCAGCAGUGGGGAAUAUUGGACAAUGGGCGCAAGCCUGAUCCAGCCAUACCGCGUGGGUGAAGAAGGCCUUCGGGUUGUAAAGCCCUUUUGUUGGGAAAGAAAAGCAGCAGGUUAAUACCCCGCUGUUCUGACGGUACCCAGAGAAUAAGCACCGGCUAACUUCGUG
rnacentral:rRNA from 1 species